AUUGAACGCUGGCGGCAGGCCUAACACAUGCAAGUCGAACGAGUGGCGGACGGGUGAGUAAUGUCUGGGAAACUGCCUUAUGGAGGGGGAUAACUACUGGAAACGGUAGCUAAUACCGCAUACCAUCAGAUGUGCCCAGAUGGGAUUAGCUAGUUGGUGGGGUAAAGGCUCACCAAGGCGACGAUCCCUAGCUGGUCUGAGAGGAUGACCAGCCACACUGGAACUGAGACACGGUCCAGACUCCUACGGGAGGCAGCAGUGGGGAAUAUUGCGCAAUGGGCGCAACCCUGACGCAGCCAUGCCGCGUGAAUGAAGAAGGCCUUCGGGUUGUAAAGUUCUUUCGGUAGGGAGGCGUUACCCGCAGAAGAAGCACCGGCUAACUCCGUGCCAGCAGCCGCGGUAAUAC
rnacentral:rRNA from 1 species